CUCAAGGUUUUUAUUAAAACCACAAAAUUUCCUCAAGAUAUUAGAUU
rfam:Nestor notabilis contig79164, whole genome shotgun sequence.